rnacentral:rRNA from 1 species
GAUGAACGCUGGCGGCGUGCCUAAUACAUGCAAGUCGAGCGAACGGACGAGAAGCUUGCUUCUCUGAUGUUAGCGGCGGACGGGUGAGUAACACGUGGAUAACCUACCUAUAAGACUGGGAUAACUUCGGGAAACCGGAGCUAAUACCGGAUGAUAUUUUGAACCGCAUGGUUCAAAAGUGAAAGACGGUCUUGCUGUCACUUAUAGAUGGAUCCGCGCUGCAUUAGCUAGUUGGUGAUGUAACGGCUUACCAAGGCAACGAUGCAUAGCCGACCUGAGAGGGUGAUCGGCCACACUGGAACUGAGACACGGUCCAGACUCCUACGGGAGGCAGCAGUAGGGAAUCUUCCGCAAUGGGCGAAAGCCUGACGGAGCAACGCCGCGUGAGUGAUGAAGGUCUUCGGAUCGUAAAACUCUGUUAUUAGGGAAGAACAUAUGUGUAAGUAACUGUGCACAUCUUGACGGUACCUAAUCAGAAAGCCACGGCUAACUACGUG